rnacentral:rRNA from 1 species
UGUUGGUUCAAGCCUGUAGUCGUGCCUGGUAGGUAAAUCCGCCGGGCUUAGAUGAGGGGUGAUAACGAGGCUGCUUGCAGCCGAAGUGAGUGAUACCCUGCUUCCAGGAAAAGCCACUAAGCUUCAGCUAUACACGACCGUACCGCAAACCGACACUGGUGCGCGAGAUGAGUAUUCUAAGGCGCUUGAGAGAACUCAGGAGAAGGAACUCGGCAAAUUGACACCGUAACUUCGGAAGAAGGUGUGCCUUUAGUAGGUGAACCUGUACAAGGGGAGCCCAAUGAGGUUGCAAAAAAUCGGUGGCUGCGACUGUUUAUUAAAAACACAGCACUCUGCAAACACGAAAGUGGACGUAUAGGGUGUGACGCCCCGGUGCUGGAAGAUUAAAUGAUGGGGUGCAAGCUCUUGAUUGAAGUCCCAGUAAACGGCGGCCGUAACAAUAACGGUCCUAAGGUAGCGAAAUUCCUUGUCGGGUAAGUUCCGACCUGCACGAAUGGCGUAACGAUGGCCACACUGUCUCCUCCUGAGACUCAGCGAAGUUGAAAUGUUUGUGAUGAUGCAAUCUCCCCGCGGAAAGACGGAAAGACCCCAUGAACCUUUACUGUAGCUUUGUAUUGGACUUUGAACAGAUCUGUGUAGGAUAGGUGGGAGGCUUUGAAGCAGGGUCGCUAGAUCUUGUGGAGCCAACGUUGAAAUACCACCCUGGUGUGUUUGAGGUUCUAACCUAGGUCCAUUAUCUGGAUCGGGGACAGUGCAUGGUAGGCAGUUUGACUGGGGCGGUCUCCUCCCAAAGCGUAACGGAGGAGUUCGAAGGUACGCUAGUUACGGUCGGACAUCGUGACGAUAGUGCAAUGGCAUAAGCGUGCUUAACUGCGAGACUGACAAGUCGAGCAGAUGCGAAAGCAGGACAUAGUGAUCCGGUGGUUCUGUAUGGAAGGGCCAUCGCUCAACGGAUAAAAGGUACUCUGGGGAUAACAGGCUGAUACCGCCCAAGAGUUCAUAUCGACGGCGGUGUUUGGCACCUCGAUGUCGGCUCAUCUCAUCCUGGGGCUGUAGCCGGUCCCAAGGGUAUGGCUGUUCGCCAUUUAAAGAGGUACGUGAGCUGGGUUAAAACGUCGUGAGACAGUUUGGUCCCUAUCUUCCGUGGGCGCUGCAGAUUUGAGGAAGCCUGCUCCUAGUACGAGAGGACCGGAGUGGACAUACCUCUGGUGUAUCGGUUGUCACGCCAGUGGCAUUGACGAGUAGCUAAGUAUGGAAGAGAUAAACGCUGAAAGCAUCUAAGCGUGAAACUCGUUUCAAGAUGAGAUCUGCCGGGGCCUUGAGCCCCCUAAAGAGUCGUUCAAGACCAGGACGUUGAUAGGUCAGGUGUGGAAGCGCAGUAAUGCGUUAAGCUAACUGAUACUAAUUGCUCGUGCGGCUUGACCU